GUACAUGUACAGGGUAAUAAUACUAUCCAGGUUUCAUACACAAAUACAGGGGGAUUAAGAAUUUUCAAAUGAUGAGCUGGGUCAAAAACAGGAACUCAAUCAGUCCAAAUGCACUAAAGGCUCAAGAACCCCAAAAGGGCUCAGAGCAGCUAGGAAGCUCUCUUUAAAUAUGGAGGUCCUGCACAUGAUUGGCUCUGCUUCCUGGGAGUAAUCAGCAAGAAAAGUUGCACCUGUGUUACCCACGGGUGUCCUGCAAAAUUAAUGUUAUUAAACGCUAGUUAUAGAUUUGUAAACAACCACCGAUAGCCUAAUAAGUUUGAACAUCUUGGGAGCCUGUUGCCAUCUCUCUUCUGCUGAAAAAAUCCUGCAAGGGUCAGUUCAUCCUGAGCAUUCCCAGCCAAUGAACCUGACCAUGCAAGGCCUGGCUUAGCUCAGUGGCAGGAGUUUUUGGGACAAGUGAGGCGAGGUGGCCCUUGAUGCCUAAAUUACCCAGGUAAGUCGUCAAGCCAUUCUGAAAUGGUUUUGACUAUUUUAAAAGAGCUAAAAAUAUAUAUUAAUAUAAUGCAACAAAUAUGACUUUAAUGCUUUGUUGAUCUUUUGCAGAUAGUUACAUUUCUAACAACUCGUUCACACAGAAAAAGAUGUGGCUGUGGAUUGAGGAUUUGUCUAGUCACAGAGUUGUUCCUGAAUUUAGUAACCUGGCUCAUACUAAAAACAUCCACUUGGCAGGCUGCAAUUUCUUAUCAAAUGUAGAGACAAACAUUGCCCGGUGAUCUUCUGUUGUGACUGCUGUACCCGUCCUGACUAGUGUUAUUCACACCUUGUUCUAGUCAUUGCCAUGAGGUGACCUACAAAUAUUUGAGGCCACGGGGCUGUCACAUGAAUGUAUUCAUAAAAUAGAUACAACAUGGCAACAAUGUGUGAAAAUAGACUGAUAACCCUUUCAAUCCUGUAUGUGUACAAUGCUAUACCCCUGACAUUUCACAUGGACAAAGAGGGACACUCAUUUUAGGGGUGAUGCUUUGGUAGGGACUGUUCUGAGGAAUUAUGGGUGAUUUACUAAUAAAAAAAAACCUCAUACAACUAAAAAUAUACUUAAUAACAACAAGAAUGUUUGUUUUUUUACAUGGACUGAAUUCCAAACACAUUUAUUGUAGUUUAACCCCUUAAGGACACAUGACACGUGUGACAUGUCAGGAUUCCCUUUUAUUCCAGAAGUUUGGUCCUUAAGGGGUUAAAUACACAUUACUUGGAGUAUAGUUGCUGUGGAGCUCCGUUCUACACUCAGGCACAACAACAAUAUGGAGCUCCUAGAAAAAAAAAGGACAUCAUGACAGAAAAUAGGGACAGAGGGAUUUGGGCUGAAACUAGGGAUUGUUCCUCAUUAUGUAUAGAAUGCAAGUAUGAGUCAUCAUCUUCACUGUACAAAUAUAUCAAUUACUAGAGCCAUGGAAUAAUUUAAAAUGUAAUACUUCUAGCAACAAAAGAUAAAAACGUUUACAUUGUACCUUUUGUGGAUGGUUUCCAAAGCCAUAUAAACAAGGGAAGCACCAAAUAGUAAUUUGUUUUGUCACUAUUGAGAUUUUAUCAAGAUCUUUAGCAUUAUUACUUGGAAACUAUUUUAACUCUACGUAACACUACCAUGUACCUUUUGUUAUGAAGACAGAUUUGCCUAUCUGGAAUGGUUCCUUUGUACCAUAACAGCUUCUAAAGGGGCCAGAACCUACUCGUUUUGAAUAAAUAGGAAAUAAUUAAAGAUCCAUUAGAAUAAUCAUGGAAAUAAGAAAAAAACUCAAUGUUUCCUCCAAGGGUGGGUACUGAUAAGGUGACUAUACUAUUUUUAUAGUCAGAGAUGCCAUUGAUAUGUUUUUUCCUAGAACUUGAUACCAACUAGUAAUUUUUCUGUCUGAAACAACUUUGACAAUUGCAGCGCGCAAGAAUAGUGUUGAUAAUGUUACGUGCUAUUUUGGAA